UCACCCUCCACGUCAGACCAAGCCAGCCCUUGGACUCACAUAAGUGGGGACCAACAGGAUAUACAAAUGCUAACAGAAUUACAGGACAUAUCCUGUACACAGCCAGAAGAGAACAUGUCUGUUCCAACUGCUGACCAGUAUGAGCCAAACGAAAAGGUAUGGCAGGACAUAUCCUGGACACAACCAGAAGAGAAUAUGUCUU